rnacentral:rRNA from 1 species
CCUGGUUGAUCCUGCCAGUAGCAUAUGCGUGUCUCAAAGAUUAAGCCAUGCAUGUGUAAGUACAAACGACUUUUCAGUGAAACUGCAUCUUUUGCUUGGAUAACUGUGGUAAUUAUAGAUCCAAUACAUGCCGACGAGCGUGGACCUCCCGGGAUGCAUGCAUUUAUCAGACCAAGACCAAUCCGGGCUCGCCCCGCUGCUUUGGUGACUCUAGAUAACCUCAGUCUGAUCGCACAUCUAUGUGACCGCGACGAUGCAUUCAGAUGUCUGCCCUAUCAACUUUCGAUGGCACUUUCUGUGCCUAACAUGGUGACCACGGGUAAUGGGGAAUCGGGAUUUGAUUCUGGAGAGGGAGCCUGAGAAACGGCUACCACAUCAAGGAAUGCAACAGGCGCCCAAAUUACCCAAUCCUGACUCUGGGAGGUAGUGACGAAAAAUAGCAAUACAGGACUCUUUCGAGGCACUGUAAUUGGAAUUAGUACAUUUUAAAUCCUUUAACGAGGAGCCCAUUAGAGGGCAAGUCUGGUGCCAGCAGCCGUGGUAAUUCCAGCUCCAAUAGCAUAUAUUAAUGUUGAUGCAAUUAAAAAGCUCGUAGUUGGAUCUUGGGAUCGAGCUGGCGGUCCCCCGCGAGGCGAGCUACCACUGCCUGUCCCAGCCCCUACCUCUUGGUGCCCCCUUGAUGCUCUUGACUGUGUGUCCUGGGGGUCUGAAGCGUUUACUUUGAAAAAAGUAGUGUGGAAAGCAGGCCGGUCGCCUGAAUACUUAAGCUAGGAAUAAUGGAAUAGGACACCGGUUCUAUUUUGUUGUUUUUCGUAACGUGAUUAAGAGGGACGGCCGGGGGCAUUCGUAUUGUGCCGCUAGAGGUGACAUUCUUGGACCAGCGCAAGACGAACCAAAGUGAAAGCAUUAGCCAAUAAUAUUUUCAUUAAUCUACUGUCGUAGUUCAUAACCUAAACUAUGCUGAUUAGCGAUCUGGCAGUGAUAUUCCCAUGACCCGCCGAGCAGCUUCUGGGAAACCAAAGUCUUUGGGUUCUUGGGGAGGGGGGAGGGAGGAGUACGGAUGCAAAGCUGAAACUUAAAGGAAUUGAUGGAAGGGCACCACCAGGAGUGGAGCCUGCGUCUUGAAACCUCACCCGGCCUGGACACGGAAAAGAUUGACAGAUUGAUAGGUCUUUCUCGAUUCUAUGGGUAGUGGUGCAUGGCCGUUCUUAGUUGGUGGAGAGAUUUGUCUGGUUAAAUCCAAUAACGAACAAGACUCCUCCAUGCUAACUAAUUAUUUGCCAUGAAUGAGGAAUUCCCAUUAAGUGCGGGUCAUAAGCUUGCGUUGGUUAAGUCCCUGCCCGUUGUACACACCGCCCGUCGCUACUACAGAUUGGAUGGUUUAGUGAGGCCCUCGGAUCUGCGAGAAGAUGGAGGAAGUCGUAUGGUUUGGGUUAACCUGCUGGGGAUGUUCUGCCACCGGAGAGAGGGAGCCCUGAGUGACCCCCCCCCCGUCCUCUCC